CUAGUUGGCGAGGUAACGGCUCACCAAGGCUUCGAUCGGUAACCGGCCUGAGAGGGCGAUCGGUCACACCGGAACUGAGACACGGUCCGGACUCCUACGGGAGGCAGCAGUGGGGAAUCUUGCGCAAUGGGCGAAAGCCUGACGCAGCAACGCCGCGUGGAGGAUGAAGGCCCUUGGGUUGUAAACUCCUGUCGGUUGGGAAGAAAUCUUGCGGGGCUCAUACCUCCGCAAGUUGACUGUACCAGCAAAGGAAGCCCCGGCUAACUCUGUGCCAGCAGCCGCGGUAAUACAGAGGGGGCCAGCGUUAUUCGGAAUUAUUGGGCGUAAAGGGCGCGUAGGCGGCCUUGCGUGUCUUUCGUGAAAUCCCUCGGCUUAACUGAGGACGUGCGGAAGAAACUGCAGGGCUUGAGUCCGGGAGAGGGGGGUGGAAUUCCCAGUGUAGCGGUGAAAUGCGUAGAUAUUGGGAGGAACACCGGUGGCGAAGGCGGCCCCCUGGACCGGUACUGACGCUGAGGCGCGAAAGCGUGGGUAGCAAACGGGAUUAGAUACCCCGGUAGUCCACGCCGUAAACGAUGGGCACUUGGUGUCGCGGGUAUCGACCCCUGCGGUGCCGAAGCUAACGCAUUAAGUGCCCCGCCUGGGGAGUACGGUCGCAAGGCUGAAACUCAAAGGAAUUGACG
rnacentral:rRNA from 1 species